AGAAAUAAGAAAUGGAAUGGUGCAGUAUUCUAGUCAGCCCCCCGUUUCUGAAGGCGGGCCUAAAAAUCCGCCAUAGGCACAUCGAUGAAGUUCCUUGUGUCGGCUUGAGGCGCCCAGCUUGGGUCGAUGCUGGGAGUUAAGGUUGCAGGGCGAUCCACAAAGGCAUGUGGGCGAUGACCCUGCUUCCGCGGAGGCCCAUAUCUGUUUUUAUUGCUUAGCAAGGAAUAGAAAUGGAAUGGGGUAUGAACCUACGGAAUAGGAAAGGGAUUCUUAUUCGUAGCGUAGCCUGCCUUGAGUGGUACGGAGGGGAUUACAGGUAAUUGAUGUGUGACUGUUAGAUGGCCACUAACAGCAUGCACGACUGCUGUAUGAAAUUCGUACUGCAAAAGAGGCUAGGAAACGGUAAGGGUUGUUGAGGAAAACUCCUAGACUGUUCCAUUGGACAUUUAAAAGGGAUUAUAGUGUGGACUAAGUGGUAAUCCAGUCUAGCUGAUGGAAACAUCGCUAAGAUAGGUUUAAAGGGGAACCGCCUGAGUGGCAACGCUCGGUACCUAUCUGGGAAAACCUACUGGACCUAAGCCGCAGUUUUUACCUUUUAAAUGACCAUUCCAUCGUUACAUAUA
rnacentral:sRNA from 1 species